GGAGGGUACAGCUCAAUGGUAGAGCACGUGCUUAGCAUGCACGAGGUCCUGGGUUCAAUCCCCAGUCCCUCCA
rnacentral:tRNA from 1 species